rnacentral:rRNA from 1 species
AACGAACGCUGGCGGCAUGCCUAACACAUGCAAGUCGAACGAGACCUUCGGGUCUAGUGACGCACGGGUGCGUAACGCGUGGGAAUCUACUCUUGGGUUCGGAAUAACAGUUAGAAAUGACUGCUAAUACCGGAUGAUGACGUAAGUCCAAAGAUUUAUCGCCCAAGGAUGAGCCCGCGUAAGAUUAGCUUGUUGGUGGGGUAAUGGCCUACCAAGGCGACGAUCUUUAGCUGGUCUGAGAGGAUGAUCAGCCACACUGGGACUGAGACACGGCCCAGACUCCUACGGGAGGCAGCAGUGGGGAAUAUUGGACAAUGGGCGAAAGCCUGAUCCAGCAAUGCCGCGUGAGUGAUGAAGGCCUUAGGGUUGUAAAGCUCUUUUACCAGGGAUGAUAAUGACAGUACCUGGAGAAUAAGCUCCGGCUAACUCCGUGCCAGCCGCCGCGGUAA